rnacentral:SRP_RNA from 1 species
GGGCUGUGAUGGCUUCUGUAGUGGAACCGAAUACUUUGGGAUAUCUGGUCUGGGAACAACUGUUCCCUGCGGCCGGACAUGGAUUGCGCGUCCUGGUCUUUCGGCCUGGACAAAAAGUGUGCCCUCUUGGGUCUCUUUGCGCCAUGUCUCGUUUGUCUCAACUGUUUCUGAAAAGAGCCCGGGUUUAAUCCCGGGCUCCGGUAAGUUUUAAACGUGUCCUGGUUUAACCAACCAAUCGAUCCUGGCGGGGAAUUUAGCAACGGCGGCCGGCAAGAGAAAUCUGUUUGGCCGUUCAACGCAGCAAAGUAGCAGGACUGUUCCCUCCGUGGAGGUCUCGUUUCAACCGCUGUUAGGGGAGUUUCAUCCAGCGAUGGCAGGGACGACCCGUUAGGAGGCGACCAGGAUUGCACUGUUCUUACUAUUCCGAGGCACCUAAUAUCACUAUUAACAGGACCGAGGUGGCAGUGGGACCGAGUAUUACCUCCCUUCAAUGGGUUGUGAAGUGUUCGCAUUUGGAACCACAAUU